AUGCUCACUUUGGCAGCAUAUAGCCUAAAACUGGAACCACACAGAGAAGAUUAGCAUCACCCCUUUGCGAGGAUGACACACAAAUAUGACUGUCCUCAGUUGUUAUA
ensembl:snRNA U6 U6 spliceosomal RNA